GACGAACGCUGGCGGCGUGCUUAACACAUGCAAGUCGAACGAUGAAGCCUAGCUUGCUAGGUGGAUUAGUGGCGAACGGGUGAGUAAUACGUGAGUGACCUACCUUUGACUCUGGGAUAAGCCUGGGAAACUGGGUCUAAUACCGGAUACGACCAAUCUCCGCAUGGGGUGUUGGUGGAAAGCGUUAUGGAGUGGUUUUAGAUGGGCUCACGGCCUAUCAGCUUGUUGGUGAGGUAAUGGCUUACCAAGGCGACGACGGGUAGCCGGCCUGAGAGGGUGACCGGCCACACUGGGACUGAGACACGGCCCAGACUCCUACGGGAGGCAGCAGUGGGGAAUAUUGCACAAUGGGCGCAAGCCUGAUGCAGCGACGCCGCGUGAGGGAUGACGGCCUUCGGGUUGUAAACCUCUGUUAGCAUCGAAGAAGCGA
rnacentral:rRNA from 1 species